rnacentral:rRNA from 1 species
UACGUAGGGACCAAGCGUUGUUCGGAUUUACUGGGCGUAAAGGGCGCGUAGGCGGCCUGCUAAGUCGAACGUGAAAUCCCCGGGCUCAACCCGGGAACUGCGUCCGAUACUGGAAGGCUUGAAUCCGGGAGAGGGAUGCGGAAUUCCAGGUGUAGCGGUGAAAUGCGUAGAUAUCUGGAGGAACACCGGUGGCGAAGGCGGCAUCCUGGACCGGUAUUGACGCUGAGGCGCGAAAGCCAGGGGAGCAAACGGG